CAUCGCUAUAAAGUGUUCUUAU
rnacentral:miRNA from 14 species